rnacentral:rRNA from 1 species
AGAGUUUGAUCCUGGCUCAGAUUGAACGCUGGCGGUAUGCUUAACACAUGCAAGUCGAACGGAAACGAAACUAGCUUGCUAGUAGGCGUCGAGUGGCGGACGGGUGAGUAACGCGUAGGAAUCUGCCUGAUAGUAGGGGAUAGCCCGAAGAAAUUCGGAUUAAUACCGCAUAAUCUAUUCGUAGUAAAGUGGGGGACUUUCGAGCCUCACGCUAUCAGAUGAGCCUGCGUAAGAUUAGCUUGUUGGUAGGGUAAAAGCCUACCAAGGCAACGAUCUUUAGCUGGUCUGAGAGGAUGAUCAGCCACAUCGGGACUGAGACACGGCCCGAACUCCUACGGGAGGCAGCAGUGGGGAAUAUUGGACAAUGGGGGCAACCCUGAUCCAGCAAUACCGCGUGUGUGAAGAAGGCCUGAGGGUUGUAAAGCACUUUCAAUUGUGAAGAAAAGUUAACGGUUAAUAACCGUUGACCUUGACGUUAACUUUAGAAGAAGCACCGGCUAACUCCGUGCCAGCAGCCGCGGUAAUACGGAGGGUGCAAGCGUUAAUCGGAAUUACUGGGCGUAAAGCGUGCGUAGGCGGUUUAUUAAGUCAGAUGUGAAAGCCCCGGGCUUAACCUGGGAACUGCAUUUGAAACUGGUCAACUAGAGUAUGGUAGAGGAAAGUGGAAUUUCUGGUGUAGCGGUGAAAUGCGUAGAUAUCAGAAGGAACAUCAAUGGCGAAGGCAGCUUUCUGGACCAAUACUGACGCUGAGGUACGAAAGCGUGGGUAGCAAACAGGAUUAGAUACCCUGGUAGUCCACGCCGUAAACGAUGAUAACUAGCCGUUGGGGGGAUUUACCCCUUAGUGGCGAAGCUAACGCGUUAAGUUAUCCGCCUGGGGAGUACGGCCGCAAGGCUAAAACUCAAAGGAAUUGACGGGGACCCGCACAAGCGGUGGAGCAUGUGGUUUAAUUCGAUGCAACGCGAAGAACCUUACCUGGUCUUGACAUCCUGCGAACUUUCUAGAAAUAGAUUGGUGCCUUCGGGAACGCAGUGACAGGUGCUGCAUGGCUGUCGUCAGCUCGUGUCGUGAGAUGUUGGGUUAAGUCCCGUAACGAGCGCAACCCCUAUCCUUAUUUGCCAGCACAUUAUGGUGGGAACUAUAAGGAGACUGCCGGUGAUAAACCGGAGGAAGGCGGGGACGACGUCAAGUCAUCAUGGCCCUUACGACCAGGGCUACACACGUGCUACAAUGGGAAGGACAAAGAGCCGCGAAGCCGCGAGGUGUAGCUAAUCUCAUAAAUCUUUUCGUAGUCCGGAUUGGAGUCUGCAACUCGACUCCAUGAAGUCGGAAUCGCUAGUAAUCGUAGAUCAGAAUGCUACGGUGAAUACGUUCCCGGGUCUUGUACACACCGCCCGUCAUACCAUGGGAGUGGGUUGCACCAGAAGUGGCUAGUCUAACUUUGUGAGGACGGUCACCACGGUGUGAUUCAUGACUGGGGUAAAGUCGUAACAAGGUAACC